UCAGAGAAGGCGGGUGGCGCUCUUGUAAUUGGAAAAGCUCCGCGAUGUGACAAGACGCUUUGGCGAACACCGCAGAGAUUGAUUGCGUGAGAGGGAUUUGAGUGGGUGCAACCGACCAAGAGAAUCUUCCGGUUACUGUCUUUCUUUCAGACACACGUACCUUCGCGGUAAAUCGUAUCACAUCUUCUCUUCGUUUAGGCUACUCUCUCUACCCAUUCGUCGUAUUUCACUCGGAUAACUUCUCUCUAAAGGAAAAUAUUGUUUAUGGUUUUGACCGAAGAUUUCAAGAUGUCUCGCACCGACGAGGUUCACCGCAUAACGGAGAAUGUCUACAAGUCCAUCAUGGAACAGUUCAACCCCUGCUUGCGGAACUUCGUUGCCAUGGGGAAGAGCUAUGAGAAGGCCCUGUCCAAUGUGACGUUUGCUGCUAAGGGCUACUUUGAUGCCCUGGUGAGGAUGGGAGAGCUAGCCAGUGAGAGCCAGGGAUCCAAGGACAUGGGUGAGUAGUAGCCAAUCAGCUGUCAGGAUGUUGUGUACCUAAAGGGGUAUUCAGUGCUGGCCAAUGCUUGUCUUAGUGUUUGUACUGUAAGUCCGUGUGUCUGUGUCUAUCAGCUGCUACAUAUCUCUUUCCCUUCUCUGGACCUAAAGGGGGAGGUUAACUGGGCUCUCCUGCUGGCCAACACACACACAGUCACUUCCUGUGUUUGUGUCACAGUAAUGUCAGGUCUGUAGAGAGAUGACCCAGUCUUUGUUUUCCACGCAGGCAGCGUUGUGGUGUCACUCCUACACUCUAAAAAGAAAAGCUUCCUGGAAGAUAUUUUAGGGGUUCUUCAAAUUGAACUGUGGGGAACCUCU